GGCGGGUGAACAUAUAAAUACAUCGUCACGAACAAGGGCUGUCAGAACAAACCCAGAGUGCCAAAAGGAGCCCGGAGGACCCAGGCCGCCUGGGAGUGGGAAAAGACAGUCUAUCCACACCAGAAGGUUCUCAUUCUGAAGAGAUAUGAAAGUGACCUGUGGGAUUUUUCUGAAGUGCUGCUGGCUGGGAACUGCUGGAGGUGCAGUGGGUCUUACCCUAGUGUGUGGAGCUAAGUGAUUUCUGAUCUCUGAAGGCAAGGAAGCUCCUGGAGUGGCAUCAAGCCUGGGUGACAGGGAGCGUGGACGAGCAGUGGGCGGUGAGGCCUCUUCCCUGAUGGUUCAAGUGCACAUGACUGAUGAAUGGGUACCACGGGGUCGGAGCAUUGCAGAGGUAUAUUUAGCUGUUACCUAGGACUCAGUCCACUCAUCUCCCACCCACUGGGACACCCAUUGGAUGGCAUGCAGUGGAUACCAGGGAAGGAGGCUGUGGACCUGCUCUCAGGGCCUGGGGUAAGGCAGAAUCCUCACUCCCCUGCAUAUGAAGAUCAUUCUAAGAGCAUUUAAAGUAAGUGUGAUUUUCUGAGCCCCACCCUAGAUCAGUUAAAUUAGGAUCUCUCCUGGGAAGUCUGUCAUCCUAACUGAAGUGCAAGGCAGGAGAGGAGAAUGUGUCAAAGAAAAAUGAGGUGGUGUGUCUUGAGUGUUCAGAGGAAGGGGCUCAGGACAGGGGCUGGAGAAAGGGGACAUGCGGGGUGUGGAUGGAGACCAUGGCAAGCAAUAUGUUACCUGUAGACAGCAAUGAGGGUUUUCAUUCCAGAAAGACUCACACUAACUGCAGCGUCGUCCGGCUCUGCCUCCCUUGCUGUGCUGUCGUUCCAGUGGAACGUCUCUGUUCUCAGUUUCAGCGCAGGGGAUCUUCUAGACCCAGAAACUGAACCUGUGUCUCCUGCAUUGGCAGGCGGAUUCUUCACCACCGAGCCAUCUGGGAAGCCCCGUGUUAUCCAUUACAUUCCCAUUUAGGAGGAGACAAUCCUGGCCGACCUCAUAAAGCCCUUUCAGGUUUCUGAGUCCUAUCUGAGGCCUGUUAAGCUUUGCCAUUCUAAAGAAAAUGCAAGUCUGCAGGGCUCCCGGGAAAGGUGCCUGUGGCCGAUCCUAGCUGCAUCCACUUAUAACAGAGGAUCACCCCUCUAUUCUCCAGCUGCCCUUCCCCUUGAUGAGUCAUGUGACUAAUUCUGGCCAAAGGAUGGUGGAUGAGCAAGACGUGCGUCCCUUCCAGACCGAGGUGUCCACUAGACACGUUCUGCUCUGCAUCUGCCAGCUGACUCAGUCCAAAAGAUGGCAGAGUCUCAAGUUGGACGCAGCCCAGGCCCCCUGAGAGGGCCCUGGAGGACAGCCACUCUGAGAAGGGCUGCAGAGAGGAGUACAUGACUACGUGGCCCUGGGAAGCCACGCAGGACCCAUCAGGCCUUCAGCAUGUGAAAUCUUAGUUCCCUGACCAAGGACUGAACCUGUGCCACCUGCAUUGGGGGCACAGAGUCUUAACCACUGGACCACCAGGGAAGUCCCCCUAGAAGCUCUUGUUUUGACUGCACUUUCACGUAUUCAUAUAAUGACUGUCAGCCUCUCAACAACCACGUGAACAUGUACCAUCCUCCUCAUUUUCCAGAGAAGGAGGAAACCAAGACUCAGAGAGGUGAAUCAACCUGCCCAGUCACCCAACUACAGAGUGAGGACUUGAAUCCAGAUAAAGUAACAGGACCUGCAUUCCUAGUUACCACUCUGCCCACUUAGGGUCACGUCACUGCUUUGCAUUGUUGCACUUUCCAGCACCUUCCAGAACAGCUCUAGGAGUCAGCACAUUAUAUUAGAAAGCUGCCAUUGGAAUCCCACUCUCAUCGAUUCUUUGAGCAAUUUCUGAAAAACACUUGAAGCCUCAGUUUCUCAUCUAAAAUAAGAGAUCGCCCUGCCGAGAGAUGGGCCGGCCCGGCGGCGCGCGGGCAGCAAGCGGCGGCGGCGGCGGCGGCGGCGGCCCAAGAUGGUGGAGCUGCAGCUCGACCCGGCCAUGG
ensembl:lncRNA